AGGACGAACGCUGGCGGCGUGCUUAACACAUGCAAGUCGAGCGGAAGGCCCUUCGGGGUACUCGAGCGGCGAACGGGUGAGUAACACGUGAGUAAUCUGCCCAUCGCUUCAGGAUAGCCAUCGGAAACGGUGAUUAAUACUGGAUAUGACAUUCCUUCGCAUGUUGGGGUGUGGAAAGUUUUUUCGGCGGUGGAUGUGCUCGCGGCCUAUCAGCUUGUUGGUGGGGUAAUGGCCUACCAAGGCUUUGACGGGUAGCCGGCCUGAGAGGAUGAUCAGUCACACUGGAACUGAGACACGGUCCAGACUCCGUACGGGAGCAGCAGUGGGGAAUAGUGACAA
rnacentral:rRNA from 1 species